rnacentral:rRNA from 1 species
GGGUUGUGAGGUUAAGUGACCAAGCGUACACGGUGGAUGCCCUGGCAGUCAGAGGCGAUGAAGGACGUGCUAAUCUGCGAAAAGCGCCGGUAAGGUGAUAUGAACCGUUAUAGCCGGCGAUGUCCGAAUGGGGAAACCCAGUGUGA